rnacentral:rRNA from 1 species
UACAGAGGGUGCAAGCGUUAAUCGGAAUUACUGGGCGUAAAGCGCGCGUAGGUGGUUGGUUAAGUUGGAUGUGAAAUCCCUGGGCUCAACCUAGGAACUGCAUUCAAAACUGGCGAGCUAGAGUAUGGUAGAGGGUGGUGGAAUUUCCUGUGUAGCGGUGAAAUGCGUAGAUAUAGGAAGGAACAUCAGUGGCGAAGGCGACCACCUGGACUGAUACUGACACUGAGGUGCGAAAGCGUGGGGAGCAAACAGGAUUAGAUACCCCUGUAGUCC